rnacentral:rRNA from 1 species
AGUGAACGCUGGCGGUAGGCCUAACACAUGCAAGUCGAACGGCAGCACAGUAAGAGCUUGCUCUUACGGGUGGCGAGUGGCGGACGGGUGAGGAAUACAUCGGAAUCUACUUUUUCGUGGGGGAUAACGUAGGGAAACUUACGCUAAUACCGCAUACGACCUACGGGUGAAAGCAGGGGAUCUUCGGACCUUGCGCGAUUGAAUGAGCCGAUGUCGGAUUAGCUAGUUGGCGGGGUAAAGGCCCACCAAGGCGACGAUCCGUAGCUGGUCUGAGAGGAUGGUCAGCCACACUGGAGCUGAGACACGGUCCAGACUCCUACGGGAGGCAGCAGUGGGGAAUAUUGGACAAUGGGCGCAAGCCUGAUCCAGCCAUACCGCGUGGGUGAAGAAGGCCUUCGGGUUGUAAAGCCCUUUUGUUGGGAAAGAAAAGCAGCAGGUUAAUACCCCGCUGUUCUGACGGUACCCAAAGAAUAAGCACCGGCUAACUUCGUG